rnacentral:rRNA from 1 species
UACGUAGGGUGCAAGCGUUAAUCGGAAUUACUGGGCGUAAAGGCGUGCGCAGGCGGUGAUGUAAGACAGUUGUGAAAUCCCCGGGCUCAACCUGGGAACUGCAUCUGUGACUGCAUCGCUGGAGUGCGGCAGAGGGGGAUGGAAUUCCGCGUGUAGCAGUGAAAUGCGUAGAGAUGUGGAGGAACACCGAUGGCGAAGGCAGCCCC